rnacentral:rRNA from 1 species
AAAUUGAAGAGUUUGAUCAUGGCUCAGAUUGAACGCUGGCGGCAGGCCUAACACAUGCAAGUCGAACGGUAACAGGAAGCAGCUUGCUGCUUUGCUGACGAGUGGCGGACGGGUGAGUAAUGUCUGGGAAACUGCCUGAUGGAGGGGGAUAACUACUGGAAACGGUGGCUAAUACCGCAUAACGUCGCAAGACCAAAGAGGGGGACCUUCGGGCCUCUUGCCAUCAGAUGUGCCCAGAUGGGAUUAGCUUGUUGGUGAGGUAACGGCUCACCAAGGCGACGAUCCCUAGCUGGUCUGAGAGGAUGACCAGCCACACUGGAACUGAGACACGGUCCAGACUCCUACGGGAGGCAGCAGUGGGGAAUAUUGCACAAUGGGCGCAAGCCUGAUGCAGCCAUGCCGCGUGUAUGAAGAAGGCCUUCGGGUUGUAAAGUACUUUCAGCGGGGAGGAAGGUGUUGCGGUUAAUAACCGCAGCAAUUGACGUUACCCGCAGAAGAAGCACCGGCUAACUCCGUGCCAGCAGCCGCGGUAAUACGGAGGGUGCAAGCGUUAAUCGGAAUUACUGGGCGUAAAGCGCACGCAGGCGGUCUGUCAAGUCGGAUGUGAAAUCCCCGGGCUCAACCUGGGAACUGCAUUCGAAACUGGCAGGCUUGAGUCUUGUAGAGGGGGGUAGAAUUCCAGGUGUAGCGGUGAAAUGCGUAGAGAUCUGGAGGAAUACCGGUGGCGAAGGCGGCCCCCUGGACAAAGACUGACGCUCAGGUGCGAAAGCGUGGGGAGCAAACAGGAUUAGAUACCCUGGUAGUCCACGCCGUAAACGAUGUCUACUUGGAGGUUGUGCCCUUGAGGCGUGGCUUCCGGAGCUAACGCGUUAAGUAGACCGCUUGGGGAGUACGGCCGCAAGGUUAAAACUCAAAUGAAUUGACGGGGGCCCGCACAAGCGGUGGAGCAUGUGGUUUAAUUCGAUGCAACGCGAAGAACCUUACCUGGUCUUGACAUCCACAGAAGA